UCCAUGUAGGUUUCCCAGAGACUAUGGGUUGAGGAGGAAUUGGAAGUUUGUCGGCUUAGACCUGGUGUCAUUCCAUCAGUGUUAAACUUCCCGGCUCAUCUUGGAAGAGUACGUGCCAGAAAGACCACGACCAAGCAGCCUUGAGAUCUUAGACAGCGUCUCCCUGAGGUCCCUCUCUAUCUCCCCACACAUCCACCAACCACUGGAACACAUCUCCAAAGUUCUGCUGGGCCAGCUCAGCUUCCCCUCAGAAGAAGUGCUGCCACCUGCCAGAUGAAGGAGCCUUUUGAGAGGCAGCUGGCAUCGUGAUUGGACUGUACUUUGGUCUGUUCCAAUCCAGCUUCAGCUCCAGAGACGGCAGGCGGGACGAGUCAACGGAGGCUGGGUGGACGAAGGCAUGCAGCUGAGUACAAUCCAGAAAACAACAGAGGAGGAGUGCAGCGACCCAGAGCCAGAACAGAACCAAAGAACUACAGACUCUUCACAACCUGCUCAAACUCUUGGUACAGGACCUCACCACACGGGUCAAGAAGGUUUCCAUCUCAUUUCUACUCUGAAGCUCACCUUCUCCUGCUCAAACUACUGACAAA
ensembl:lncRNA